rnacentral:rRNA from 1 species
UACGUAGGGUGCGAGCGUUUGUCCGGAAUUACUGGGGCGUAAAGAGCUCGUAGGCGGUUUGUCGCGUCUGCUGUGAAAACCUAAGGCUCAACCUUGGGCUUGCAGUGGGUACGGGCAGACUAGAGUGCGGUAGGGGUGACUGGAAUUCCGUGGUGUAGCGGUUGGAAUGCGCAGAUAUCAGGGAGGAACACCGAUGGCGAAGGCAGGUCACUGGG